UGUGUCACAUUUUCUUUAUCCAGUCUAUCAUUGAUGGGCAUUUGGGUGGGUUCCAAAUAUUUCCUAUUGUGAACAGUGAGCAGCCUUAUUUCUAAAGCCUCAAACUGGAAACAAUCCAAAAGUCCGUUAACAGGAGAAUGGGUAAACAAAUUGUCUUAUAAUGCCAUACUACUUAGCAAUAAAAAAAGAACAAGCAACCGAUUCAAGCAACAAUAUUGAUGACUCUCAAAAACACGUCAAGUGAAAAGAAGCCAGUUGCAAAAAAAGUCUUUAUCCUAUGAUUUCAUCUACAUGAAAUCCUACAGGCAAAAAUCCUCUAUGAUGACAGACAUCAGACGGUGGUUAGCGAGGGAUUUGACAGGAAAGGGGCAGGAGGGAACACUCAUGGAAGGAAAUGCCUCAUGUCUUGUUUUCAGUGGUAGUUACAUAACCGUAUAGGGUUGUCAAAACUCAUAAACUGGACACUUAAGAUCUGUGUAUUUUAUUCUAUGUUACUUAUAUCUCAAAAUUUUUUAAAAAGCAAAAAGAAUCUAUCUUCCCCUGCUGAAAUGAUUGCACACUUAUGAAUAAUCCAAGAUGGAAACCUAGAGGAUGUGAGAAGAUGUUGUAAAUGAGAUUUCUUGGAAGAGGGUGAUAGCUGCCUGCAAUGUGCACAGAUAUGUCUGUGCUAUAAGAAUCCCUUGAAAGAAUGCUAUAGAGAAUGACCUCGAAUCAACAGCCUACUAAGGAAAUGGAAAGUACAGCUUCUGUACCAGCAGAUCUAGAGACAUCACCAGAGAAGUCAUUUUAGAGUGACUAGAUUUUGGUGAGGGUAGGGGAAAGAUGGGGCAGGCUUUGCUAUCAGUAAAUAUGGCAACUCUCAUGCCUCAUCCAGUGGAGAAGGUGAUACAUGGAGAUUCUUCCUGGGGUAUUUCAGGUGUUCUUCAGCUUGGGAGUCAACUGAUGGAUAAAAGAUCAGUUGGUGAAUGUAUGCUGAAGUUGAAGCUAAGGUGGAAACAUCCUCAAUUCAGGGACACUGGAUUCAUUUUAGGUGUGAGAAUUGUUCUUGCACACUGUUUCUUGAGGCCAGAGAUGUUGGGUCCUGCCUCAGAUAGGAGGUGAAGUUCAUGUGAUCAGGCUUCCUAAUGGAGAAGGAUAAAUCCUUUAUGUUCAUGGUUACAAGAAAGUAUUGAGCCUCUGAAGAUUGCCUUUCAUCUGCAUAAACAAUGGACUUUUUACAUAACUUGAUUCCCAUAUAGAGUCUUGUCUAAUGAUCUCAAAGAAUAUUCUUGACUUCUGAAAGCUUUCAAUGCUACUGAAAAAAAAAAAAAGGACUUGAGAAAUCAGAGAGGGUAUCAAUAUCAAAGUGACUUCUUCCCUUCCAGCAAUGGUAGGAACAGGAGGACCCUAAGGCAUUUCUUAGUUUUUGUCCAGGUCUUGUCAAAAAUCUCAACUAAUCUCCCUGAUCACAGGAGUAAAAGUGGUAUGAAUAGAAUGAUUCUCCUGCAUUGUAAGAGUCAGGCUCUUAGAAACGGUUUUAGAGAAUUUCACUUGUAUAUCAUUAAUCCCUUAAGUGAGGUAGUAUCUAAUAAUUGGAUACUUUGUUUUAGAAAAACUGUGAUAUAUAACUCAGGUCCCUGGAUGAUCAGUGCCUGUGAUUUUUUCCUGAAUGACAGCUAUGUGUAGUGCAGGCGACCAUUCUUUUAUAUCUGUAGCCCUCAGAAUUUGAACAUUUCUUAUGUUACACAUUCUUAAGAUGCAAAAAUGUUCUGAGACAGUGUCCAUCAAAUACUUGGGAAGUUGAUCCAGAACAAGUGUCAUAUUCAUAUACUACCUUUAUUCUUAUUGUUAUAGACAUUUCAAGAUUCAUUUGUCAGCCACAAAGUUGGUCAUAUUUCAACAUCUGUUACUCUCCACUGUUAAUGAUGGAAAGAUGAAGAUUCUGUGUAGUGAAUACUCGAUUGGAGUAUUGACAUUUCUUAUAGAACUGGCAAUUUUUGAAACUGAGUGAGGUAUUAGGUAGACUUUGCUUUAUGGAUUCUAUAUUAUUUUCUUAUGGAAUAUAUACUAUUCUUGCUAACUGUGCAAAAUUGGGAGGGACUUCAAGAAAAAUGAGAACAAGGUAGCAAUGGUGGAGAUAAGUUAGGUGUCCAUAAGGGCAACCAUGAAUUUCUGGGAUAGUGGCCUUUAGGAUGGUAGUUGUCAAUUUGCUAUUCUAUUUCUAUGUAAGUUUCCCUCUUUUCCCUUAACAUCACUCUUCCAGGGUCCAAGCUAAAUGAACAGGGCACUAUAUAGUAGGUUUUAUUUUGGAGAGUAUCCAAUUUGAGCAUUGUAGACUUCUGUAGCUAUGCUCCCCAGGUUUAUCUUCAUGACCCUUCAAAUUUCUGAAUAAAGACCUUAGCUACAGAUUCUUUUGCUAAACACAGUGUCUUCAAACCAUAUGAAAAUGGAUGCUGUGCUUUUCCAGGAACCCAUUACUCUGUUAGCUCAUUUAAAAUUUUAUUUUUAGUAGGUGGUGGCAAUAAGAAUGAGAUGAAUGUAGCAGGAAACCUCAGGGAGAAGCUUUCUGUCUGGGCGGGCCUUUUCCAUGACAGCAGCACCCUUGGAAAUAUUUGUGUUCAACCAUAUUUAAACUUGAGUGAAGAUGGACAACUGAAAGUUAGUUCUUGUAUUAAGGAUGUGAGAGGAAUCACUACUUUUCAAGUUACUUUUAAAAUUCAGAAUAAAAAGGAGACGUAGCAAACUUGUUAAUCAAGGAAGGCAAUAGAUAACAUAUCAACCUAAAACUUUGUGGCUUAAAAAAGUAAUCAUUUAUUAUUUCUCAUAUAUUUGAGAAUAUAUGAGGCUCAGGAAUUUGCAAGGGGUGUUGACUAGUCCACAUGUCAUCAUCUGGGUAAGUCAGUGGGCUGCAUUCAGCUGGCAGCUUGGAUAGGCUAGAAUAUUAGGAAGGUUUCCCUUUUAAUAGCUGGUACCUCUGCUUUGUUGUUAGCAUUUCUGUCUCUACAUGGGUAGCGUGGCCUUUCUCACAGGUCAAUGGUCUCAAGAUAGCUGGACUUUUUAACCUGGUGGUCAGCUUCCAAGAGUAGAGGAAUAAGCUGCCAACUGCAGCAUCACCUCCAGCACACAUUAUUGAUCAAAGCAACUCACCAUGCCAGCCCAGAUUUGAGAUGAGGUAGAUUCUACCUUUCAGGUGAGUGCUAGAAAAGCAGGAAUUAUUGGAGGCUCUAUCACAGUUAAUUACCUAUGUUACUUAAGUUGGAAGGGACCAUAAGUUGAGUCACCAGUUAAACUGAUGACUUUAACUUUUUCCAGUCAAGUGGAGAUUGUGAAGCCUUUAUUGAUAAUCUCAUGGAGGUGACUUCAUAAAUCCUAUAAUGUUCAUCAGAACUCCUGCUAUACCCCACUCAAAUUCAUUCCUAUUAAAUAAUAACUUGGUGAUUGAUGAACAUUUAGUUACACACUCUAAGUCCUUAGGAUACUAUAAUGAAUGCAUUCUUGAGUGUUUGGAAAUUUAGGCAAAGAAGAUUAAUUUAGUUAGUCUGGACCUAAAACAAUUCAAGAUUUUCCAUCAUUUUAUUUUAAUUGCUCAGAUAACUCUUCUUGCUUUUUCUUGCUUUUUAGAUGAGGAGUGUAGGUUUCUUUUCUCAUAGCCAGAGAUGAUCUUGAAAAUAAGUGCCUUUUUUGACAGAAAAAAUAAGGUUGGAAUUCUAAUUUAAAAGGUCCUCCCAAAUACAAAGACAAGCCUAAGGCUUGGACAAUAUAAAAAAUCUGCCAUUCCUAUUGUAUUCCAAUUAUUAAACAAUAAAAUAUACUAUAUAAUUGUUACUUUAUUAAAUACUCUGAAGAAAGAGCCAUGGAAUAGCAAUCAGAGGACUGAUGUUCAGGUCACCUUUGGCAAAUCGCUUAAGUUCAAGCCUUUCUUUUAAUCUAUAAAGUGGGGAUAAUAAUUUCUUCUCCACCUACCACAGUGUUUGUGAAACUUAAAUGAAUAAAAGUAUUCAGGACCACAAAUAAGGCAUAAUAACUGUAUGAUAAAAAAAAUUGUUAUAUCAAAAAAAAAAAGAGAGA